UACGAAGGGGGCUAGCGUUGCUCGGAAUCACUGGGCGUAAAGCGCACGUAGGCGGCUUGCUAAGUCAGGGGUGAAAUCCUGGAGCUCAACUCCAGAACUGCCUUUGAUACUGGCGAUCUCGAGUUCGGGAGAGGUGAGUGGAACUGCGAGUGUAGAGGUGAAAUUCGUAGAUAUUCGCAAGAACACCAGUGGCGAAGGCGGCUCACUGGCCCGAUACUGACGCUGAGGCACGAAAGCGUGGGGAGCAAACAGG
rnacentral:rRNA from 1 species